UUUGAGAUUAAGAUUUAGUUGUUGUUACUAGAUAAAGAAAGGGAAUACCAAGAUCUCCAACAAUUCUUAAGAGUCAAGGAAAAAGAACUUGAAACAUAGAAAAAAUAAUUCGUAAUCUCAAGGUUAUAAAAAUGAAAGCAAAGUUCGAUGAAUUGUCAAGAGCUUUUAAAGAUUUAGUGCAAGAACAUCUUGAAUCUGAGAAGCAAUUUGAAAUUGAAGAUGAACAAGAAUUUGAAGAGCAACUUGAAGAUGAAAAUAAUAAACGAAAAAAGCAACCUAAAGAACCUAAGCAUGAAGGGUUGAGCUUGAAAAAUUUGAAGUUUUUGUUGAGCAUUCACAUGUUAAAGAACCUCUUCUAGAAGAAGUUGAUGAUAAGAAAGAAAAGUUUGAGGAAACUACUCUAAAAGUUGAAUAAAAUCCCAACAUGGAGAUUUUAUUGGAAAUUGAAGACAAUCAAGCUAUAUGGAGACUACAAUGGAAAUUGAAGCUUUAUCUAAUUCUCUUGCUCCUAGUGAAUUGGAUGGUCUUUCAAUUGCCGCUAUGAUUGAUUUUAUCUGUCCACAUGUUUCUAGGGAUGCAAAGGAAAGUAUGAGAUUCUUAUGUCAAUUUUGUUGCUAUUGUCCAAGAAGAUAACACUGUGUGUUCUCCUAA
rnacentral:misc_RNA from 1 species